CUGCUCAGAAUGACUGCAUGGCUUGCAUCGUCAUAAAGGAGUGCAUGACCUCAUUUGGUUGUCAUGACCAAUGGUUUACCAGUCACCGAGAGUCAUCAUUCAAGGAGGUGUUCUUGGUCUGUGAGGCAAGCUGGACCUUCAGCAAUGAGUGCAGUUAUUCUCACAUGCAUGCUUGAAAAAGAAAAGAAGGCUCCUUGAGUUUCUCUUGGCAUGCUGUUCUAGGAGCCCCAUGUUUCAUUUUCAAAUGGAGAAUGAAUAUUCACUUGGCCUGCUCUCAGGAAAGAGAUAAUCAUACUGCUUUAAAAAAUAAUCAGUGUAUCUGUGACUUAUGAUGUGAAGGCCAUGUCCUCUGCUGGGUUUCUUCUUGAAACAUCGAGAGGUUUGAAUAGUGGCACAGAGUGAAGAAAAUCUACUGGUCUACUGAGGUGAGGAGGCACACAACUCAAAAAUUACUGGCCUACUUUUUUAGUACCACCACCUCAUUCAGAACUCAAGAUAUGAGAACACACAGUUUAAAUCCCUGGCAAAAUGCCCCAUAGCCAAGCUUUGCCACGCAAAUCCAUCUUUGAGAAGGAGGAACUCUUUAUCACCUGAGAUACUAAGGGAGGCAUGUCCAAGUUGAAUCAAAAGUACCCUGUCUGGACGUGACUCCAUUCAUGGAAGAACUUCUGUCUCAGCCUACUGGAUGAAUUCCCCAUGAGUAGGAUGUAUUUGGAAGAAAGGUCUGUGGGAAAUGACCUCCCAGUUGAAGUAUCAGUUUCCUUUUUGACACGUAUUUUGGACCCCUCUUCUGCCAGAAAUUGGCUUGGAAAUAAGUUGCUAUCUGAAAAACAAAUGGCUGUAAUAAUGUGGAUGGCCAGGGAUACUCUGGAAUUGAAAUAUUCUCCCAAAUGCUGUUCCUGGUUGACCUGUGGAUGUAUUUGGAAGAACGGUCUGUGGCAAGUGGUCUCCCAGUGGAAGUAUCAGUUUUCAUUUGGACACACCAUUUUUGACUCCUCUUCUGCCAGAAACUGGCCUGGAAAUAAGCAGCUAUCCCAAAAACAAAGGGCUGUAAUAAGAUGAAUUCACAUGGAUCUUCUGGAAUUGAAAUAUUCUACCAAGUGCUGAUCCUGCUUGACUUGUGGAUGUAUUUGGAAGAAAGGUCUGUGGGAAGAGGCCUCCCAGUGGAAGUACCAGUUUCCAUUUGGACACACCAUUUUUGACUCCUCUUUUGUCAGAAACUGGCCUGGAAAUAAGCUGCUAUCCCAAAAACAAAGGGUUGUAACAAGAUGGAUGGCCAUGAAUACUCUGGAAUUGAAAUAAUCUCCCAAGUACUAUUCCUGCUUGACUUGUGAAACUGUCCUGGAAAUUAGCUGCUAUCCAAAAACAAAUGGCUGUAAUGAUGUAAAUGGCCACGGAUACUCUGGAAUUGAAAUAUUCUCCCAAACGCUGUUCCUGGUUGACCUGUGGGUAAAAUUCUGCUCAGAACGGCUGCAUCGCAUUCACCAUUGUACAAGAGUGCAUGGCUUCCACUGGUUGUCAUCACCAAUGGCUUAUCAGUCACUGAGGGUCAUCAUUCAAAGAGGUGUUCUUGGUUUGGGACGCAUGAUGGACCUUCAGCAACACAUGCAGUUUUCUCUCAAGUCAUGGGUGAAGUGGGAGUAAAAGCAACUUUAGUUUCUCUUGGCAUACUGUUCUAGGAGCCCCAUGCUUUUUUUUCAAAGAGAGGGUUAAUACAAUUUUGUCCUGCUCUAAGAAGAUAGAGAUUCAUGCUUGUUUAAUAAUGAUCAAUGUAUUUGUGGAUCAUGAUGUGAAUGGACAUGUCCUCUGCUGGGUCCCUUCGGAAACCUUUGAGAGGUUUGAAUGGUGGCAUAGAAUAAAGAGAAUCCACUGGUCUUUUGAUGUGAGGGGGCACACAACU